UGCGCGGAAGAUGUAACGGGGCUAAGCCAGUUACCGAAGCUGCGGAUGCAUCCGCUCUUUUAAUGUGUUUAAUCGAGAUACUUCAUUGUGAGAGUUUUGAAUGCAAAUUCAAAACUCUCACUAACGUACUCCAAAAGGCUUGGGCAGAGAGGGUCCAAAGUACUUAAGGAGGUUUGAAUCUUAAACUGUAAUUUUAAGAUUUAUGGAUAAUCGAACGAAGAGGAUUAGGACAUAUUAAGAGAGCGGAUGCGUGGUAGGAGAGCGUUCUGUAAGCCAGAGAAGGUGAAUCGAGAGGUUUGCUGGAGGUAUCAGAAGUGCGAAUGCUGACAUGAGUAGCGAUAAAGGGAGUGAAAAGCUCCCUCGCCGUAAGUCCAAGGAUUCCUGCGCAACGUUCAUCGGCGCAGGGUUAGUCGGCCCCUAAGGUGAGGCAGAGAUGCGUACUGAUGGGAAGUGGGUUAAUAUUCCUACACCGGCUUGUGAUGUGAAGGGGGGACGGAUUGCGGAAUGUGUACGGGCUGUUGGAAAUGCUCGGUAUUGUAGCCAAGAAGUUGAUUAGGCAAAUCCGGUCAAAGGAUUCAAGGCUAUGAUUCGCAGAAGACUUAAGGUCUUUGAAGUCACAGGAAGUGGUUCCAGGAAAAGCCUCUAAGCGUUAAAUUACAAGUUGACCGUACCGCAAACCGACACAGGUGGACGGGAUGAAUAUUCCAAGGCGCUUGAGAGAACUCAGGAGAAGGAACUCGGCAAAUUGAUACCGUAACUUCGGGAGAAGGUAUGCCUUUGUAUGGUGAGUAGCCAGAAGAGGCCGCAGAGAAUAGGUGGCUGCGACUGUUUAUUAAAAACAUAGCACUCUGCAAACACGAAAGUGG
rnacentral:rRNA from 1 species